rnacentral:tRNA from 17 species
GGAGGCGUGGCCGAGUGGUUGAAGGCGGCAGUCUUGAAAACUGUUAAGCCGCAAGGCUUCGUGGGUUCAAAUCCUACCGCCUCCGCCA